AUGAACGCUGGCGGCGUGCUUAACACAUGCCAGUCGCACGAUGAAGCCCAGCUUGCUGGGUGGAUUAGUGGCGAACGGGUGAGUAACACGUGAGUAACCUGCCCUUAACUCUGGGAUAAGCCUGGGAAACUGGGUCUAAUACCGGAUAGGAGCGCCUACCGCAUGGUGGGUGUUGGAAAGAUUUAUCGGUUUUGGAUGGACUCGCGGCCUAUCAGCUUGUUGGUGAGGUAAUGGCUCACCAAGGCGACGACGGGUAGCCGGCCUGAGAGGGUGACCGGCCACACUGGGACUGAGACACGGCCCAGACUCCUACGGGAGGCAGCAGUGGGGAAUAUUGCACAAUGGGCGAAAGCCUGAUGCAGCGACGCCGCGUGAGGGAUGACGGCCUUCGGGUUGUAAACCUCUUUCAGUAGGGAAGAAGCGAAAGUGACGGUACCUGCAGAAGAAGCACCGGCUAACUACGUG
rnacentral:rRNA from 1 species